rnacentral:rRNA from 1 species
UGGCUCAGGAUGAACGCUGGCGGCGUGCCUAAUACAUGCAAGUCGAGCGAACGGACGAGAAGCUUGCUUCUCUGAUGUUAGCGGCGGACGGGUGAGUAACACGUGGAUAACCUACCUAUAAGACUGGGAUAACUUCGGGAAACCGGAGCUAAUACCGGAUAAUAUUUUGAACCGCAUGGUUCAAAAGUGAAAGACGGUCUUGCUGUCACUUAUAGAUGGAUCCGCGCUGCAUUAGCUAGUUGGUAAGGUAACGGCUUACCAAGGCAACGAUGCAUAGCCGACCUGAGAGGGUGAUCGGCCACACUGGAACUGAGACACGGUCCAGACUC